GGACCGAGACUACUCCACUACUUCACCUGAGAUUAUAUUCCAGCUGCAGAGUGCUGUGAGAGCCCUGAACCAUACGUCCCGUUGUGGUUCCUGCCAUCCUUCUUCUGGUGGGGCUGAUGUCCACGUCGGACUCUGCAGCCGAGAUGUGCAAGACCAAGUAUCCGGCCACACCGUGUAGAAACAAGAACCUCGGUGAAGGCUGGUUCCAGAUGGUUAACAACCGCUGUGUGAAGGCGU